UACGUAGGUGGCAAGCGUUGUCCGGAAUUAUUGGGCGUAAAGCGCGCGCAGGCGGUCUUUUAAGUCUGAUGUGAAAGCCCACGGCUCAACCGUGGAGGGUCAUUGGAAACUGGGGGACUUGAGUGCAGAAGAGGAGAGUGGAAUUCCACGUGUAGCGGUGAAAUGCGUAGAGAUGUGGAGGAACACCAGUGGCGAAGGCGACUCUCUGGUCUGUAACUGACGCUGAGGCGCGAAAGCCAGGGGAGCAAACGGG
rnacentral:rRNA from 1 species